rnacentral:rRNA from 1 species
ACUGUCUCUAUUAGAUUUAUUAUUAAAAUUAACUUUUAAGUUAAAAGGCUUAAAUUUUACUUAAAGACGAGAAGACCCUAUAGAGUUUUAUAGCUUAGUUGUAGGGAGUUUUUGGUUAUUUUAUUUUCUUAUUAUGAAUGUUAUUUGGUUGGGGUGACUUAAAGAUUUAGUAAACUCUUUAAAUUUGAAGUUAUUGAUUUGUAAAUAAUUAAUCUAAUUUUUUUAAAUUUAAAAUAAAUUACCUUAGGGAUAACAGCGUAAUUUUUCUUUAGAGUUCUUAUUGAAAGGAAAGU